ACUCCUACGGGAGGCAGCAGUGGGGAAUCUUGCGCAAUGGGCGAAAGCCUGACGCAGCGACGCCGCGUGGGGGAUGAAUGGCUUCGGCCCGUAAACCCCUGUCAUUUGCGAACAAACCUUACCGGUUAACAACCGGUGAGCUGAUUGUAGCGAAAGAGGAAGGGACGGCUAACUCUGUGCCAGCAGCCGCGGUAAU
rnacentral:rRNA from 1 species